rnacentral:rRNA from 1 species
UACGUAGGGUGCGAGCGUUAUUCGGAAUUACUGGGCGUAAAGCGUGCGCAGGCGGCUUUGCAAGACAGAUGUGAAAUCCCCGGGCUCAACCUGGGAACUGCAUUUGUGACUGCAAGGCUAGAGUACGGCAGAGGGGGAUGGAAUUCCGCGUGUAGCAGUGAAAUGCGUAGAUAUGCGGAGGAACACCAAUGGCGAAGGCAAUCCCCUCGGCCUGUACUGACGCUCAUGCACGAAAGCGUGGGGAGCAAACAGG